rnacentral:rRNA from 1 species
GACGAACGCUGGCGGCGUGCCUAAUACAUGCAAGUCGAACGAGAGCGACCGGUGCUUGCACUGGUCAAUCUAGUGGCGAACGGGUGAGUAACACGUGGGUAACCUGCCCAUCAGAGGGAGAUAACAUUCGGAAACGGAUGCUAAAACCGCAUAGGUCUUCGAACCGCAUGGUUUGAAGAGGAAAAGAGGCGCAAGCUUCUGCUGAUGGAUGGACCCGCGGUGCAUUAGCUAGUUGGUGAGGUAACGGCUCACCAAGGCCGUGAUGCAUAGCCGACCUGAGAGGGUGAUCGGCCACAUUGGGACUGAGACACGGCCCAAACUCCUACGGGAGGCAGCAGUAGGGAAUCUUCCGCAAAGGACGCAAGUCUGACGGAGCAACGCCGCGUGAGUGAAGAAGGUUUUCGGAUCGUAAAACUCUGUUGUUAGAGAAGAACAAGUGCUAGAGUAACUGUUAGCGCCUUGACGGUAUCUAACCAGAAAGCCACGGCUAACUACGUG